GCGAGCGCCGCCGCUCCCGGGGCCGGGGGAUGGCCGGGGAUGGAGCCGGGAGCCCGGGGCAGCAGCCAGGUACCGAUCCCGGGGGCACAGGGACCCCAGCCCCGUCUGCCGGGGGGCAGCCAGGAAAUGUCCCAGAGCCCUGGAGAGCCGGAGCCCAGCUCGGUGACGGGGCUGUGUGGGCACAGCCUGGCCCUGCUCCUGUCCCCACGCAGCUGCAGCCAGGAGCUCUGGGCUCGCCCAGGAGCCGAUCCCGAGGGGUUGCCCAUGGAAUAGGCGCUUUUCCAGGUGCCUGGGCACACGAGAGGCUGAAGUUGGUCGCCCCGGGGCACCCGAACCUGCCCUGCCCUGGAGCCCCCGGCCUCUGCCAUGAAUGAUGCAUCCACCAUGGAUUAUGAACUGCUCUCCCCGUCCCUGGUGGAGCACCCCGCCGGCGCCGCGGGCAUGGAUGCCGAGCAGAAAACUGUCUUUGCCUUCGUCAUCUUCCUCCUGGUGUUCCUGGUGAUGCUGAUGGUGCGCUGCUUCCGCAUCCUGCUGGACCCCUACAGCCGCAUGCCCGCCUCCUCCUGGACGGACCACAAGGAGGGCUUGGAGCGGGGCCAGUUCGACUACGCCCUGGUGUGAGAGGAGCCCGGGCCGAGCUCCGGCCCCGCUCCCCCUCCAUCCCUCCCUCCUUCCCUCCCUCCCUCCGCAGGGAUGCUCCGGGCAGGGGGGCAAGCAGGGGGUCCGGCCCCGGGGAGGUUUUCUAGGGGUUUCUCUCUUUUCUAAGCACUUUUCAGUUCUCUCGGCAGCCCGCGGGACGCUGGGGGUUGGACGGGGGGCCUGGACGGGGACCCCGCUGCCCCCCGUGCCC
rnacentral:lncRNA from 1 species